CCUACGGGAGGCAGCAGUGAGGAAUAUUGGUCAAUGGCCGUAAGGCUGAACCAGCCAAGUCGCGUGAAGGAAGAAGGACCUAUGGUUUGUAAACUUCUUUUAUCGGGGAAUAAAGGUAUCCACGUGUGGAUAUUUGCAUGUACCCUAUGAAUAAGCAUCGGCUAACUCCGUGCCAGCAGCCGCGGUAAUACGGAGGAUGCGAGCGUUAUCCGGAUUUAUUGGGUUUAAAGGGUGCGUAGGUUGUUUUUUAAGUCAGGGGUGAAAGUUUGUGGCUCAACCAUAAAAUUGCCGUUGAAACUGGAAGACUUGAGUGUGUUUGAGGUAGGCGGAAUGCGUGGUGUAGCGGUGAAAUGCAUAGAUAUCACGCAGAACUCCGAUUGCGAAGGCAGCUUACUAAGCCAUAACUGACACUGAAGCACGAAAGCGUGGGUAUCAAACAGGAUUAGAUACCCCAGUAGUC
rnacentral:rRNA from 1 species